rnacentral:rRNA from 1 species
CUUGGUCAUUUAGAGGAAGUAAAAGUCGUAACAAGGUUUCCGUAGGUGAACCUGCGGAAGGAUCAUUACUGAACUGUCGACACGAGUUGUUGCUGGUCCUUGAAAGGGGUCACGUGCACGCUCUGUUUACACAUCCACUCACACCUGUGCACCCUUGUAGUUCUAUGGCCUGGGGACUCUGUCCUCUUGCCGUGGUCCUACGUCUUUACACACACACCGUAACAAAGUAUCAUGGAAUGUACGCCGCGUCUAACGCAAUACAAUACAACUUUCAGCAACGGAUCUCUUGGCUCUCGCAUCGAUGAAGAACGCAGCGAAAUGCGAUAAGUAAUGUGAAUUGCAGAAUUCAGUGAAUCAUCGAAUCUUUGAACGCACCUUGCGCCCUUUGGCUAUUCCGAAGGGCAUGCCUGUUUGAGUAUCAUGAACACCUCAACUCUCAUGGUUCGCCAUGAUGAGCUUGGACUUUGGGGGUCUUGCUGGCGUAACUGCCAGCUCCUCUCAAAUGAAUCAGCUUCCCAGUGUUUGGUGGCGUCACAGGUGUGAUAACUAUCUACGCUUGUGGUCUUCCAUCAGGUUACCUUCAGUAAUGGAGGUUCACUGGAGCUCACAGACGUCUCUCCUCAGGGAGGACAAGCUUCUUAACGUUUGAUCUCAAAUCAGGUAGGACUACCCGCUGAACUUAAGCAUAUCAAUAAGCGGAGGA